rnacentral:lncRNA from 1 species
AGGUUUGCUUGAUCUACAGUAAUAAUUUAUCUUUAUUUAUUAAGGUUAUUUUUUUUUUCCUCUGUUUUGUUUUCCUCGUGGGACACUUCUGAAGUGAUAUAUCAAUAUGAACUCUUUGAUAAAAAUGUUGCAAAGCCAUUGAUCAGCUUGCUGUUCUAUAUCAUAAUGUCAGGUUCUGUUUGUAAAUUUGGUUAGGAUUGCCUUAUGGAAUGGCGUCAAUUGACUGUUACUUAAUUCAUUGUGUAAAAAUGUGCUACUUUUCUGUCGGAACUAAAUAACCAUUGCUAGGUAUUAUAAGAUGAAUUUAUCAAAGUUAUCAUUUAGUUUUCCUGGGAUGUGGAUGCGUAUUAUCAAUUGGUGCCGUCCUGCAAUCCUUUCUUUCGAAUGCUGUUUUGCAUUGCAUGUGGUAACAUAAAUUAUUAUUUCGCGUAGAAUCAUAUAAAUUAGUUAAUUAUUCUGAAU